GACAGAGGGUGCAAACGUUGUUCGGAAUUACUGGGCGUAAAGCGCGUGUAGGCGGCCCUGCGAGUCGGAUGUGAAAUCCCACGGCUCAACCGUGGAAGUGCAUUCGAAACUGCAGGGCUAGAGUCCUGGAGAGGAAGGUGGAAUGCUUGGUGUAGAGGUGAAAUUCGUAGAUAUCAAGCGGAAACACCGGUGGCGAAGGCGGCCU
rnacentral:rRNA from 1 species